AUUGAACGCUGGCGGAAUGCUUUACACAUGCAAGUCGAACGGCAGCACGGACUUCGGUCUGGUGGCGAGUGGCGAACGGGUGAGUAAUGUAUCGGAACGUGCCCAGUCGUGGGGAUGACGUAGUGAAAAUUACGCUAAUACCGCAUACGAUCUAUGGAUGAAAGCGGGGGAUCGCAAGACCUCGCGCGAUUGGAGCGGCCGAUAUCAGAUUAGGUAGUUGGUGGGGUAAAGGCCCACCAAGCCAACGAUCUGUAGCUGGUCUGAGAGGACGACCAGCCACACUGGAACUGAGACACGGUCCAGGCUCCUACGGGAGGCAGCAGUGGGGAAUUUUGGACAAUGGGCGAAAGCCUGAUCCAGCCAUUCCGCGUGCAGGAUGAAGGCCCUCGGGUUGUAAACUGCUUUUGUACAGAACGAAAAGGUUUCUACUAAUACUAGGAGCUCAUGACGGUACUGUAAGAAUAAGCACCGGCUAACUACGUGCCAGCAGCCGCGGUAAAAC
rnacentral:rRNA from 1 species